rnacentral:lncRNA from 10 species
UUAAAUGAUAUACAUCACAAUCGUGGUUUUAUAGACAUACACUGUGCACAGACAAAUAAAUGAGGAAUACAUUAAAUAUUAACAAUGGUUGUUUGGAGGUGGGAGAACUGUGGGUGGUAUUUUCUUCAUCCAUUUAUCUAACUGAUCCAAGUUUUCUUCAGGGAGGAAACUUGUAUAAAUGAGGGCAUACAGGCCCGGCGCGGUGGCUCACGCCUGUAAUCCCAGCACUUUGGGAGGCCGAGGCAGUCAGAUCGCUUGAGUCCAGGAAUUCGAGACCAGCCUGGACAACAUGGUGAAACCCCAUCUCUACAAAAAAUACAAAAAUUAGCUGGGUGUGGUGGUGUGUGCCUGUAGUCCCCGAUACUUGGGAGGCUGAGGUAGGAGCAUUGGUUGAGCCCAGGAGGUGGAGGUUGUAGUGAGCUGAGAUUGUGCCACUGCACUCCAGCCUGGGUGACAGAGUAGACACCCUGUCUUCAAAAAAAAAAAAAAAGGGGGCAAAAAUUUUAAAUCAUGUCACGAUUGGGAGUAAUUUAGGCAAAACUUGCCUGGGAGCAAGGAGUAUAGACUAGAAAAUUGUUUGAAGUUCAUGCUUUUGUAACAAGGGCCGGUUCUAGAAUUUGGCAUCAGAUGGGUAGCAGCUUUGGAAGGAAGCAUAAGAAAGGGACACACGAGGACUCCACACAGCCCCAAUUGUCACUUUCCACCACCACAUAUCCUCUUUAAUUCUGAGAGUAUUCAAAGGAGUUUAACCAUUCAGUGGAUGAUACAAUUAUCACAGUGGCAUAGCCAGUUGUCCUGUUAACAGCCAUCACAUGUGACCCUGGGGAGCCCAGGCUUCUUUCGUGGUCAGACCUAAACCUGCUGAGAGAGGGUGGUUUCAUGUUAGUCACUGACAGAGCACAUCUCCAGCUCUCACUGUGGAAUCCAAGUUUUCCUUUCGCCUUCCUGCCUCAUUUGGUUCUGCCCAUUUGCUUGGAGCCAGAAAGGGAAAAGGAAGAACACAGGACAUCCUCUCCGCUCUGCAACUGACCCAGAUGGUACAGUCAAGAUGACCUAGCUGUAACCUGGCUACUAGAGGACCAAGGAGAAAAAUAAACUUCUACCACGCUUUCGAAAACAAGCACUCAAACUCAGGAGAUACUUGAUUGAAGUUGAAAGAGUGGUGCAUUCCCCAAGGCAGUACCCUCAUGAAUGGGAUUAGUGUCCUUUAAUAAAAGAGACCCAAGAGAGGUCCCUUGCUCCUUCCAGCAUGUGAGAUUACAGCAAAAAGAUGCUGUCUAUGAACCAGAAAGUGGGCCCUCACCAGACACUGAAUCUGUCGGCACCUUGAUCUUGGAUUUCCCAGCUUCCAGAAGUGGGAGAAAUAAAUUUCUCUUGUAAAUAAGAUAAACAGUUUAUGAUAUUUUAUUAUAGCAGCCCCAAGGGACUAAGACAGAAAUCCAGUUGUACACCAGAUGGUUGUAACACGUUCAGUGGAAUGAAAACCUUGUGUCUUGGCAGGGUGCAGUGGCUCAUGCCUGUAAUCCCAACGCUUUGGGAGGCUGAGGUGGGAGGGUCACUUGAGGCCAGGUGUUCAAGACCAGCCUGGGCAACAUAAGGAGAUGUCCAGAUAGCCGGCAAAACAGUGUUCCUGGGUAGGCCUGUGAUGGUGUUUCCAGAAGAAAUUAGUGCUGUGAGUCGGUAGAGUGAGUAAAAAAGAGUCUCUUAAAAAAAAUGUUGGCCGGGCACGGGGCUCACGCCUGUAAUCCUAGCACUUUACAAGGCUAAGGCAAGUGGAUCACUUGAGGUCAGGAGUUCGAGACCAGCCUGGCCAACAUGGUGAAACCCCAUCUCUACUAAAAAAUACAAAAAUUAGCUAGGAAUGGUGGUGUGUGCCUGUAGUCCCAGCUGCUCAGGAGGCUGAGGCAUGAGAAUCACUUGAACUCAGGAGGUGGAGGUUGCAGUGAGCCGAGAUCGUGCCACUGCACUCCAGCCUGGGUGUGGUGGUAUGCACCUGUAGUCCCAGCUACUCAGGAGGCUGAGGCAGGAAGAUCGCCUGAGCCCAGGAGAUUGAGGCUGCAGCACUCCAGCCUGGGCAACAGAGCAAGAUCUGGUUUCCAAAAAACCCAAAAAAACCUUGUGUCUUCAUGUGGAGAUUAAGUAUGGUUUAAGGAGAUGUGUAUGGAUGACAAGUUCAAAAAGGAUGGUCGUGUGAUGGUUAAUUUUAUGUGUCAGUUUGACUGAGCUAAGGGAUGUCCAGAUAGCUGGCAAAACAGUGUUCCUGGGUAGUCCUGUGAUGAUGUUUCCAGAACAAAUUAGCAUUGUGAGUUGGUAGAUUGAGUGAAAAAGAUCCUCCCAGGUGGAUCGCGAGGUCAGGAGAUCGAGACCAUCCUGGCUAACACGGUGAAACCCCAUCUCUACUAAAAAUACAAAAAAUUAGCUGGGCAUGGUGGCGGGUGCCUGUAGUCCCAGCUACUCAGGGGGCUGAGGCAGAAGAACGGCGUGAACCCGGGAGGCAGAGCUUGCAGUGAGCGGAGAUUGCACCACUGCACUCCAGCCUGGGCGAGAGAGUGAGACUCUGUCUCAGAAAAAAAAAAAAAAAUUAGAAAAAGAUCCUCCCUGUCAGUGGGUAUCAUCCACUGUUGAGUGGACAAAAGGUGGAAGAGGGGCGAAUCUGCUCUUUCUGGGCUGACAUCCAUUUUCUCUUGCCCUUGGAGGUCAGUGCUCCUAGCUCUUGCUUUUGGGCUUAGACUGGGACUUACAUCAUUGUGCCUCUGGUCCUCAGUCUUCAGAUUCAGACUGAAUUAUACCACCAGCUUUCCUGGUUUUUCAGCUUGCAGAUGGCAGAUCCUGGGACUUCUUGGCCUCCAUAACUGCAUGAGCCAAUUCCCAUAAUAAAUCUACACUUGAUCUUAGCCACAAGGCCGAGAAACGAUCAAUUCCUAUAAUAAAUCUCUCUUAUAAUAUCCUGUUGGUUCUGUUUCUCUGGAGAACCCUGACUAAUAUACCUUUUUUUUUUUUUUUUUUUUUUUUUUGAGACAGUCUUGCUCUGUUGCCCGGGCUAGAGCACAGUGGUGCCAUCACAGCUCACUGCAACCUCCAUCUCCCAGGUUCAAAUGAUUCUCCUGCCUCAGCGUCCCGAGUAGCUGGGAUUACAGGCACCUGCCACUAUGCCUGGCUAAUUUUUGUAUUUUUAGUACAAAUGGGGUUUCAUCAUGUUGGCCAGGCUGAUCUCGAACCCCUGACCUCAAGUGACCUGCCCGCCUCAGCCUCCCAAAAUGCUGCAAUUACAGGCAUGAGCCACCGCGCCCGGCCCUAAUACACCUUUUAACCUAAAAUUUCAGGACUUUCUUUACUUAGAAAAUUAUAUACACAUAUAUAGCUGUGAUUGUGCCACUGCAAUCCAGCCUGGGCGACAGAGUGAGCCCUUGUCUCAAAAGAAAAAAAAAGUUUGGUAUAUAAUCUUCCAAUCCCUUUCUAUGAAUUUAAAUGUUUAUUUUCUACCUAGUAAUCUUAUUUUUUUUAAUUCUUUAUUUCCUAGAUAAUGUUCAUUGAACCUUUUUGUAUUGAGAAAUUUUAAGGCACAUUUAAAAAAUAUAUUCUAACCAGGCACCGUGGCUAUCUUAGCACUUUAGGAGGCUGAGGCGGGUGAUCAGUUGAGGUCAGGAGUUCAAGACCGGCCUGAUGGUGAAAACCCUGUCUCUACAAAAAAUACAAAAAUUAGCCGGGCACAGUGGUGUGACCCUGUAAUCCCAGAUACUGGGGAGGCUGAGGCAUGAAAAUUGCUUGAACAUGGGAGACAGAGGUUGCAGUGAGCCAAGAUUGCACCACUGCACUCCAGCCUGGGCGACAGAGUGAGGCUCUGUCUCCAAAAAUAAUAAGAAGAAAGAGAGAGAGAGAGAAACAAACAAACAAACAGAGGCAAAAUUAAUAUAAGUAGCAUUUUUUGUUGUGGUUGUUGUUUUCUUCCUGAGACAGAGUUUUGCUCUUACGCCCAGGCUGAAGUGCAAUGGCCAUGAUCUCCGCUCACCACAACCUCCGCCCCCAGGGUUCAAGCGAUUCUCCUGCCUGAGCUGGAGAUUACAGGCACCCACCACCACCACGCCCAGCUAAUGUUGUAGUUUUAGUAGAGACAGGGUUUGGCUAUGUUGGACAGGCUGGUCUCGAACUCCUGACCUCAGGCGAUCCACCCACCUCGGCCUCCCAAAGUGCUAGGAUUAUAGGCCUGAGCCACUGCACCCAGCCCCGUUUUUUUUGUUUGUUUGUUUGUUUUUUUUUUUUUUUUAUUUUUAUUUUUUAUUUUUUAUUUUUUAUUUUUAUUGAUCAUUCUUGGGUGUUUCUCGCAGAGGGGGAUUUGGCAGGGUCAUAGGACAAUAGUGGAGGGAAGGUCAGCAGAUAAAC